CUUGAACGCUUUCCCGCACUCGUGACACGCGUGGGGCUUCUCGCCAGCACCGACGCGCCCGUGGAGAAGCGGGAAGGCACUUCUUCGAGAGACCUGGGGCGCGGCCGCACCGGGCAGGCUUGUUCCUUCACUGACGCGACGGCUGCUCUACCUCCAGUUGGUUUCCCGGAGGACCGCCACCUUCCCCUGCGAUCCGGAAUCUGUCCCGCUGACCCCCGAGCACGAGCCCUCCUGCCCGCAGCCCUGUCGCCCCCUGAGGGCCUCAUCCCGUCCCGGGGCCCAUCGGCCUUUCCGCCGCUUCGGUGUUGGCGGCAACCGAGUGUUCCGGAGCGUUCAUCGGCACGUCCCAAAUCCGGGUCGGGAUUCCAGUGGGGUUAGUCACCAGCUGGAGACCCGAGGACUACCCUGUGGCCUUAGGGCCCCCAAAUUUCAUUCCAACUUUACCAAAACUUCAAUUUGGGAGCAAACUGGUUUUUUUCCCAGAGAAACUUCCCACAAUUCUUCUUCGGUUUAGGCUAUGCUCAGCUUCUGACCAAGACCUGGGCUGUUUUAGUCCCUGUGGGGUCCCCCCCCCCCGCCCCCCGUCCCACACCCGCCAGGCCUGCGCACAGCUCACGGCAGCUGCUCGUUCUGCUCGGCUCCUUGUGGCAUCAAAAACAGAAGCCCUCCAACUGUAGUGUUUUUUUUCUAUCCACAUUUUGUCAGAGACAUUUUCAAGUAUAGAGAAAAGCUGGAAGACUCGUUUAGUAAGCAGCCACACACCCACCUAAACGUUCGGAGUGUCCGCCCACACUUCUGUCCAUCUAACUAGCCUCUGUUAGCCCACUUUACUUUUUGCUGCAUUUCAAAGUAACUGAAGGUACCAGCAUACUGCACCCUGAAACUCUUUAUGGCACGCACCCUGAACUAGAGUUCAGGAUCUGUUUACCUUCCUGUUGAGGAGAAGUUUCCUACAGUAAAAUAAACAAGUCCGGAGUGUCCCACUGGAUGAGCUUUGACAAAGCA